AUUGAACGCUGGCGGCAGGCCUAACACAUGCAAGUCGAACGAGUGGCGGACGGGUGAGUAAUGUCUGGGAAACUGCCUGAUGGAGGGGGAUAACUACUGGAAACGGUAGCUAAUACCGCAUACCAUCAGAUGUGCCCAGAUGGGAUUAGCUAGUUGGUGGGGUAACGGCUCACCAAGGCGACGAUCCCUAGCUGGUCUGAGAGGAUGACCAGACAAACUGGAACGGAGACACGGUGCAGACGCCGAAGGGAGGUAGCAGUGGGGAAUAGUGAACAAUGGGCGCAAGCCUGAUGCAGCCAUGCCGCGGGUAUGAAGAAGGCCUUCGGGUUGUAAAGUACUUUCAGCGGGGAGGCGUUACCCGCAGAAGAAGCACCGUCUAACUCCGGGCCAGCAGACGAGGUAAUUC
rnacentral:rRNA from 1 species